GGAACUUGACUGCAUUAUAUAUAUAUGUCGGUGAGUUAUACUUUCAUGCCUGGGACGAUGGAUGAUCACAUCAUUCGAACGUAGUCACGAUCCUCGAAAUUCCAGUGUUUUAUGAACUUGUUUUGCAUAGCAACGUUUGGCAUUUUGGAAUCAGAACACUUUUGAAGAAGCUUGAAUUGACAGCAAUCGUGAAUUCGUUAAUCAUCCCUUGCAUUCAAAUAUUAUUUGUUCUAUUAUUAGAGGAAACCCUUUUGUGAAUAAUACAUCAAUUAAUUGAUAUUGAAAUUACUAUUAUUACCUUACCAAACCGGCAAUACCUAUGUCGCCCAUGAGGCGCAAUCGUUUGAAUAAAAGAAGUGGCUCUGUCGCCUCGACAUAUAUAUAGAAACAGCUUAUAUGGAAUCCACAAGCGAUGUGACACCCUGACAUUGUGGUUUUCCAAUUUUUUGCGACUGUGAAUUGAACACUUGAUUCUGCUCCGAACUCUAAAUUUUGAUUCCAGCAAUUGGCUGUUCCACGUAUCUGAUUAGGUACAAGUGACCGCAGAGCUUCACAAAGUAGUCUGGUUGCUUCCCGCGACAAUCUAAGUGCAUAAAAUUUGAAGCUAUCCAAUCAUAGACAUACAAUGGAUUUUUACAAAAUAUCUUCAACAUACACAGGCACUGAAUAGAUAACUCAUUGACGAAUGAGAUAAAAUUACGCAAUCAUUGCCAAAUUAAGAUCUAUGAUUCAACAGAGAGAUUACAGACCAAGACUCAGAGAGAGAGUAUGCAUACCCAAUUCCUAUGACAUCGUCCUAUUGAUAUAUCAAGAUCCUCCUCAGGGUUUUAUUGUAUUUCGGAAACUCACAAAUUUAUCUAAUUAAUUCAUUUCACCCGUCAACAUUUUUUGUAGUGCCAUCGAGAAGUGUAGUCUGGGAGUUUUCGUAGAAACAAGGCGAAUGCAAGUUAUGCCAACAAGAUGUAAGAGGCAGUGGCAAAACAACGAAUUUAAGCUUUCAUCUAUUGCGCUCACAUUCUUAAGUUGACAUGGGGGCUUGUUCCAUCGAGAAAAAUUUUGCACAUGGUUCGAAAAGGAAGCGAUCUGUCAGUAUAUGUUAUCUUUCGAAAAUGAAGAGGACGUGAACGACUUGCCCGAGCGAUGUUCCUCUUCAGCAUCGUCAAUUUCGACGACGUCUGUUACGGCCGAAUCAUCAAUUGCAUCUGCAUCGAAUGCAACUUUGCUCUAACAACCCAGACUAGACAUGGCUUUCUUAGAUCAAAAAUCGUUUUAAGGAUCAGAAUCAGCAGAUAUUUUACUCGGUUAAGAAGAUAUAAGGACAUCGACACCCACAGGCGAACGGUCAGGUGGAACGCGUUAACGCAACGAUAGUGGCGGCGAUCAGUGUGAACAUUAACGACGAAGACGGAAGGACUUGGGAUCGAAAACUGGACGUAAUCCAAAGUGAUCUUAACUAGAUGCGGAACGCAACGACGAGCAAGAGUCCGUUCAAACUAGUAUUCGGCUACGUGCCUCGACGAAAUGAAGGUGCCUUGCGCUUGCUCGUGGCGGAGACCGCUUCGUGUUACCGGUCACCACAGGAGUUGCAGGACGAGGCUCGAGCACGCAUCGCCCGGGCACAAGAAAAGAUGAAAGUAAGAUACGACGCAAACCGUUGUCGCGAUGUAACGAUCGGGGUAGGCAGUAUUGUCUUCAUGAAGACGGUGCCGACGCAAACUGGCGAAUCCACAAAACUACAUGCAAAGUAUCGAGAGCCGUUGGAGGUUCUCAGCUGCUUGCCUGGAGACACGUACCGUGUCGCCGAGCUCAACGUAAGAACGCGAGGACACCGGUAUGCGACGACAGCGCACGCGUCCCAAUUGAAGAUCUGGAAGCCGCAAUCUGACAACGACUCGGAGGUAGAUGACUUCGAGGAGGAAAACAGCGCGCCAGCAGCCGAAGACGAUAGCGAGGAAGAAGAGCGUACAACUUCAUCGAAUGAAAAGGGCAAUAUCAAUCUGGAUGUGGGGAAUCAAGUGACCCGUGCAGGUGUCAAAAACAAAACAAAUGAAGAAUUGUCGUCGACGUCACAAACGCGACAGUCGACUCAAAUAAAGUGCCCGCCGACCAAGUUCGAAGACUAUGUGAAUUAGGCUCUAAGGACAAUGCUCCAAUGCUGUGUUAGUGUAUCAAUAUGGACGAAUAAACGAUGUUAUUCAUUAUUUCCUUUUGUUAUGGUUGAGAGUGUUUGAAUCAUAUUUGUUACAAGAAAGCCUCUAUACUAGGAGCAACUGUGUAUGAGCGAAUGAUAACGACGGUCACAUGACGCGUGUGGAGUCAUAUGAUUUCACUCGUAUGCCACUCGAGGACGGUCGGAUGUGAGCGUGGCCGAGUGUUAAAGAUAAAGUGAAAGAGGGAGAACGCGAGCAUCACCGCUCCAAACGAAGAAGGCCUAGGUGGCGCUAUUGUACGGCCUACGUGGGCCUCUCAGUAAAUUUGAAUAAAGGCAGCCAUUUUGGUUGACCGGUAGCUCUAGGGUAGUACGUUACGGAGUAGAGCAGGUGCCAGACGUGGUCCCUCUCCCUCUCCCCCUCGUCUCUUUGUAUGUGACGCCUCGUGGCGCGGAGCCGGUUCUUGUCUAUCGCUUUUGUAUUAAUUGUGGAUGUUUGUUAUCGGUCGCGUCUCCAGGGCCCUUCUGGCCGAGUACCGACCGAACUUAAAUAUAUAUGUAUACCUGUAUCAUAGUUUCACUAUUAUAACUAUUAAUAAAUACUCCACCGCUCGUUAUUCAAACAAGGUCUGAAUAACCGCCGUUCUUCCCUUUCGCUCCCCUCAACGUCUUCCAUGCCCUGGCCAAGGUAAAAGAAGACCGAUUCAACAAUCAAAUAAAUUAUACCAACCGUUACGGUUCAGUUUCAAUUAACACGUGCAAUGGAGCCUCCGCAAAAAUUGAAAAAAAGAAAUAGCUACGAUGAAAGUGUCCCUGCAGCAGGAACUUCACCAUCAGAUUUUUCGAGCGAAUCUAUGUUUAAAUCUGUUGAUAUACUGGAUGAAUGUGGAACAGUGAGUGAGGACACGGAAAAAGAGAUAACUGGUGCAGUGUAUUAUUAUAUGGAAUUAUUGGAAAAAAUGGACAUGAUUAAUAAAACGCGAAGUACAGAAAUUUCAAAACGAUCCAAAAUUAUGGGUGAAAAGAUGGAAAAAGAAGUCAUAAACGUAAUUAGUGGUGGCGAGUUCGUUGAAGAAAUCGAAUUAUCGGCUGCAGAGGAAGAAUGCGAAUCGCAUACCGACGAUCUGCAAAUAUCACCGACAAGCAUUGAUCAUGCGAUAGAAGAGUCUUCGAGUUCUCGAGUUCAUCAGGAAAUAGUGAAGAUCAACCAGUAAUCGAUACAGUUCCAUUUGAUUUGAAGUUGAAGGCGUUCAGACUUGCGAAACGACAUCCGCAAUGGUCAAUAAAAACAUUGGCAUCGAAAACCACGCGCAAACCUACAAAUAAGAAGCAGCUCUGGCGAUGGAAAAAUCAUGUGCAGGGCGGCUGUUCAAAACUUGACAAAUAUAAAUUGAUCGACACGUGGGUAUUUAAUCGUUUUCAAGAAGCCAGAAAUGAUGCGCACUUGGUCACUACACGAACAUCGCGGCAGUGGGCAAUGGCUGCCGCGGCCCCAUUACUAUCCGAAAAUUUUUAAUUUCAAGCUUCAGACACAUGGUGCGAAUCCUCCAAGGCCAAGCUUAAAAUUCGGCAGCGCCAUGUUACCAAAUACGUCAGCUCCAAAGAAAAACGCACGUUUCAUGAAUAAUUGCGAAUCGCUGCUGAAUUUCAACAUCAAACAUCCAGUAUAAUAUCAACCUUCGAUCCUGAUGUGGUAAUUAAUACGGAUCAAACCGAGUGCGAAUAUCGCAUCAGCAGCAAACGAACGUCAUCUUUCCGAAGUGAGAAAGUCACAAAAGUUGCUGUCAGCCAGUUAAAUAAACUGACACAUUCAUAUACCGCCCAGUACGGGCUAACACUUUCCGGAGCAAUAGUAUUUAUCUGUCUUCGAGAGCCUAAUAGCAAAUUCGGUCCUCGAGUACAACAAAAGGUGACGCAGAUGAUGGAAAAAUAUCAGAACGUCUAUAUAACCGCCACAAAAUCUGAAAAACUGACGAGAUACGUACAAUCUCUUUUUGGAUAAAGUUCUACAACCUUAUGUAAAACCGGAACCAGUUUUGUUUGUAAUUGAUUCGUGGGGUGGACAAAGCGACAUCUUCUUGUAUGAUGGAAAAUUCGUGGAUGAGGACGGAAUGCCAACUUGUUCAUUGUAGGUGAUACCUCCGAACUGUACUCCGCUAUGCCAGCCGUGUGACGUAUACUUUUACAGGCAGGUAAAAAACUGUAUUCGACAUCUCCAAAACUGCCCCGUCCCGAUUGCACAGCGGAGAGAAAUCACAAGCAGACGCGACGCAAUGAAAAUACACUCCCUGGUCCACAAUCAAUUGCGGGUACCAGCAUUUGAAAAAAUGAUUCGGUACGCAUGGUUCGCCGCAAAAUUAUCGGCGGAUCGCGCGGUUUUCAAUAACGUCAACGGCAUUGCGUUUCCGGACGACGUUCACACCCAGAACUGUGAUUGCGGCCAAAGUGUCUUCGCGGGUUGCUCCUGGUGCAGAGAAUAUUUGUUUUGAAUGUUACUAUGAUAGGUACCAUCCCGACGAAUGCGCUACAUAUUGUUGAAUUAUUCGAGCGAUGAUGUAAUAAUAAACAUGAAAAUUAAGCCACUCGCUGCUAUCCAUUUGUUAUUCGUAUUGUAAUUGUAAUAAUUGUAUUUUAAAUACAGCGUC